UACGUAGGGGGCAAGCGUUGUCCGGAAUCAUUGGGCGUAAAGCGCGUGUAGGCGGCUCGGUAAGUCUGCUCUGAAAGUCCAAGGCUCAACCUUGGGAUGCGGGUGGAUACUGCCGGGCUCGAGUCCGGAAGAGGCGAGUGGAAUUCCUGGUGUAGCGGUGAAAUGCGCAGAUAUCAGGAGGAACACCGGUGGCGAAGGCGGGUCUCUGGGCCGUAACUGACGCUGAGGAGCGAAAGCAUGGGGAGCGAACAGG
rnacentral:rRNA from 1 species